AGGAGGGCGCACGUCCAAGGGGAACGAGGGAGGGACCUACACGAGAGCACGGAGGGGGAGGGAAGAUCAUUUCCUUUCUGUAGUGUACACGCCGCAAGAAUACACCGGGAUAAGGACGAAAAAUUACAUAGGGAAGACGGUAAAGGAAAUACCGCAGCCCUGUUGUCUUUUGUUUUGGGAAUUCAUCUAACACAGAACGGAAGACAAACACGGGGAGAUGGUUCUUCAGGAUUGACUUUCAAUAACCCUCUCUACAUGCGAAAAAGUCUGGCGAGUAGACUGAAAAAGGCAAUAGCAGUCAGGGAAGACAUGUUUAGUGAUUUUAGUCCUGCGCUUGAGGUAGGAUGUUGAUGUAUUUUCGUAAAAUAUGGCUCUCUCUGGCACAAAUAAGGGGUCAACGGUGAAUGGGCAUAUUAUUCCAGGAGCAGUAUCAUUAUGAAGUAGUCUAGUUAAUUACUUAGGUUAAUAACAAAACGAUGAAAUAGCCUAGGCCUUCUGCAGACUGAAUAUUGCUGUAACGUUAGUAGGCUAGGCCUAAACAAGGCUAUGAACAGGUGAAAAUUAACGUUAACAACUAAUUUUGUAUAGAAUUUAUUUGUAAUCUGCAUCGUAUCAAUGGCAGUAAGGGCAACACAUUUACAAUUUUAAAGAAACAAGUAGUUAUUAGUUAUAUCGAAUUUCUUGAUCAGAUUUUAUACAUCUGAUCAUCUUUUAAUAUCAAGGGUUGCAUAACAGUGGCUACAUAGGGACAGACUAUAUAAAACCACACUCUGUUUCUUACAAACAUAAUUUUGACCACAGAAAAGAGUUCGACAGAGGCCAAGGUAGAAAGGAUAGGUGGAUAUUUUAGCAUUAGACAGGGAACAUCAGACGUUUUUAAAUGUUAAUGUCGAACGACACAACAUCAAUCAUGCUGCCUGUAUCUCGGGCUAUCAUGGACCGGGAUCGAGAGCUCCAGGACACAAUGGCCGGGGUGCAUCCCAACUCGACCGGGGCUUCUGGCGCAGCUGUCCGGGGAAUGAAGCGAGGAGACCCAGCAUCUGACGCGCAGACGUCGGCAGCUCUUGUGGAAUCGGCCGGGGCAGAGUGCAAGCGUCCCCGGAUUGACGGAUCUGGAGUAGUCGCAGAGGUCGGCCAGAACAAUGACCCCCUGACCCUUGGUUACCAUGGAUACCCAACCCACAGUCAGGGCUCUCAGGAUGCAGCAGGUGGUCAAGAGGGUCUCAUCCCCCCAUCCUUCUCCGCCUUCCCCCCUCCUCCCCCUCCUCCCCCCCAGAACGGCUUGGCCCUGGAGUACGGGGCCAGUCUGUACGCCGCAGGGGCCAUCCAGGGGUCGGUGGAGGCCGGACAGGCAGGCCUUAACACUCCGACAAGCGUCCCAAACAGCUUAACGACCCACCAGUCAGAUGUGUCGUCACAGAUUGAUAACCAGUUGGUGGGUACAGGAGGAGGUGGUGGCGGGGGGUCCGUAGGGGACGACUCCGAGAAGGGGACCCCCAAACGCCUCCACGUCUCCAACAUUCCCUUCCGCUUCAGAGACCCUGACCUCCGGCAGAUGUUUGGGCAAUUUGGAAAGAUCCUUGAUGUAGAGAUCAUAUUCAACGAGAGAGGAUCGAAGGGUUUUGGUUUUGUGACGUUUGAGACGAGCGCGGACGCUGAGAAGGCCAGAGCCGCUCUCCACGGAACUCUGGUGGAAGGACGCAAGGUUGAGGUCAACAACGCCACAGCCAGGGUGAUGACCAAUAAGAAAAUGGUCACCCCAUAUUCUAAUGGAGGAGAGGGGCUCGCCGCUCUACCUUAUGGGCUACUAAAUGCCAACUCCCCUACAGCCGGGUGGAAGUUGAGUCCAAUGGUUGGAGCCAUGUACAGUCCAGAGCUCUAUACAGAUUUCUCUGGCCUGUCUCUCUCAGUCCCUGGUUUCCCGUACCCUGCGGCGGCUGCACAGGCUGCCACAGCGGCAGCGACCUUUAGGGGCGCCCACCUCCGGGGUCGUGGCCGGCCGGUCUACAGUGCUGUCAGGGCAGCCCUACCCCAGCAAGCUAUACCUACAUACCCAGGUGUGAUGUAUCAGGAAGGGUUUUACGGUGCAGCAGACCUCUAUAAUAGUGUUUCAGGACAUUAGUAGCAGAUUGCCCCAGGGUGGCUAUGCUGCGUAUCGCUAUGCUCAGCCGACUGCUGUAGCCAGUCCUGCAGGAGCAGCGGCUGCCGCAGCAGCUGCCUACAGUGAUGGCUACGGACGGGUGUACACGACAGACCCUUACCACGCUGCACUAAACCCUGCCACAGCUGCAGCCUACGGUGUAGGAGCUAUGGCCACACUGUACAGGGGAGGCUACAGUAGAUUUGCGCCCUACUAAAGAUAACCAUAUUUCCCAGGAGCUCUCUCUCAUCCUGUUUGAACAAUCUAUAAAAGAGCUCCCUCUGCUGUCCACGACAGAGAUUGCAGCAAGUUUGUAGCCUACCAUGGAUACCUUUAUAUUUCAAAAUCUCCUGCUGUCCACUCUUUUUCGCUUCAAACAAAAAUAGGAAUGCCGUUUUAAAGACUGGUGGAAAGCCUUGACAAAGAAAAGAAAAUAGAAAAAAAUAACUUGUAUUUGAACCAAAUGGCCGCUUGUUUCCAUUGCACGGCUGUAUUAUAGUCCCCCUGUUUCUCCCUCUCGACACUCUCAGCAGCACAAGACACAGAAUGGUCGCCCCCAGCUAGCGUACCUCCAGAGCCUAUCAUGUAACUGGUGUCCGGACCGUUAACUGAACACUGAGACAAACCCCCUACCACACGUAUAACAGCCAAGGUGUAAUGUGGCAUGUACUAUACACAAUUCACACAUCAAGAAUGGAGGUGGAGCCUAGUUAUGGAAGACAGAACUGUGACUGCCAGUGUCUGUGGAGCCUGAAUGAGCGAGAAACCACAGCAACCGAGCACCAAAAGCAUUUUGGAACAGAAAGACAAUUUGCAAACAAAAUGGAGGAUGUGACUCCAUGUUUCCUCUUGUUGGGCGAAGGAGUAUGAGAGAGGAAAUGACAUCAUUGCAGAGAGAGGGAUGGACUGAUGUUUUUUUUAACACUAUUAGAAAUUACUCACUUCAAACUGAGCAGUAAAAGGAUUAUCAUAGCUGUUCCUUACCUCAAAGUUUUCUUAGUCCGUGAAAAUGGCGAACCUUUAAACAUUUUAUUGUUACAAUUAUGCAAAUAAAUUAGAGAGAAAAAAAGUUACCAAAAUUAUUAUUAUUAUUAUUAUUAUUAUUAUUAUUAUUAUUACUGAUUUAUAGCGUUGUCUUUAUUGCGUUAUUAUUGUUAGUUUUAGGGGUUCGCUGAGCACACCUCUAAACACAUUUUCCACUUCCCUAGAAACGAGGUCUAGGGGCUAGGACUACAGUGUAGAUAAUAUCUGUAAGCCGUUCACUACAGUGGGCAACACUACACGUCCCCUCUACAUUACACAAUAUUAUACCGAACUAAACUUCCAGUGCACAACAUCAUAUUCUCACAAUACUUCACGCUAUACACAAAUCACUCAGAAUUAUAUAAUAUUUCAUCACUACUAUAGAGGUACCGGCUAGCUUUUUAUUGCAUUGUGAAUGUUAGGCUUAGACAUAUAUCACUAUCAUUGAAACAACCAGAACCUAGUGACCUAGAAUACUUAUUCAGUUAUGUUUCUUUGAAAAGUUAUGAUAGAGAUGUUUUAUUUGGCUAUAUGAUUGAUUUCCCUAACUUGUUCUGUCUUUUAGAAGAGCAGGUAAACAUCAAGUACAGUCUUCCUGAGAAUAGCUACGUUGGUAAUAGAUAGUGAGAGUCUGUCAACAGGCGUUGAAAGAGGGACACCAUCAAUAUGAAAAAUAUUUAAUGCAAAAUACCAUACUAUUGUGCAUAUUUCUAUAUCCUUAUACUCUAUUUCCAAAUGUGGUUGUUUUUGCCUUUUUUUUGUGUUCCAAAGAUUUGUAGAAAAGCACACUUUUAGUCAUGUGUAUGAUAAAUAUAUUGUCGUUAUUGUGGUUAUUAUUAUAAGUGCUGUCUUUUUAUUUGUUGCAUUAGCUCUUGUUAUAUUUUUUCUAUUGGUAAAUGUUGUUGUUCCUCCUAAAGUAAGGUGACAUUUUCAUUUCCUCCAAGAUUAGUUGAAAUCUGAUUUUUUUUUCCUCCAUUGUUGUUUUCUUGGGCAGAGGGGAAUGGACUAUUUGGUAGUUUCAAAGAGGGAGGGAACCAUUUUACUGCUACUAAUGCCACUAUGACAUCAGCCUAUCUAGUGUUCUAUAUCUAUGGAGCGAAAAAACGGGAACGCAUGUAAAACUAAACUAUCAAAAAAAAUCUCAAUGGAAGAAACGGGAGUUUUUGGUCCAGACUGAAAUAGGGUGAUGGGGGUUGGCAAGCAUUGGAUUGAGUAUUUCCCCCCCAAAAAAAUAGGGAAAGGCUGAAAUGUUCGGGCCUCACAAUUUAUUCAAAAUCCAAAGUUUACAGUAGACAAAAAUACCUUGGAAUGAAUGGUGGCCUGACAAGCACUUCUUCUGACCUGGUGAAGUAACCUAGUCGAUCUGUCGUAGACAAAGACAACUAACAUUUCAGUGCUGAAAUUAGUCGGUUAAGGUUUAAAACGGAUGUGAAGAGCGUAGCACUCGUGUGCUGUCUAGGUUAAAGGGCAUGCAGUUUUGAAUGAUCCAAGUAUACAAAAGGUUGUAAGUGUUAUCGUUUGGUUUGUACAAUGGUAAAUGUUUCAAAGCAGUUUUACAAAGAAAAUGUUAUGUGGGGCAUGAACUAAUUACUAUGAAACAAUAUUUCAAAAUGCUGCAGUCAUUGUUUAUUUUGAAAUGUUUGCUCUAUUUUUCAUUUUAUCUUCGGUUUUCUGGCUGUGUGUACCACUCUUCUCAGUGUGAACCUAAUCUAAGACAUCAACAGGGAUCAAACUCUUCUUCUCUGGUCAUUUGACUUUAUUAUCAUGUAUUGCAAAAGUGGACUGAAAUAUGAAUAACUGAAAAGAUACAGCCAAAGAGUUAUUUAUGCCCUAUUUCUAUGGUUACCGAAUUGAGAAACGCAGAGCAAAGUGGAUAAAUGAUUGACAACCUAUUGAACCAAUCAACAUGGGCAAUUAGCAUGAUGUCGUUCUCCAGGAAGUAGAGUUUGAGACCCCUGACCUAACUGUUUUGCAUGAUUUGUCUGUCUUUUGAGAUCAGACUCCAACAGCAUUCGGUUGCAGUAGUCAUCUUUUGCCACUAAACACCAUUGAGAAUGCUAGGCAGCUAGCCCUUUUUUUAUGCUUAGGAUGCUAGUGUAGCAAAGAAGAGCAGAGUGCUGUUUGUCAAAGACUCAGGCCCAGUGAUGGGCAAAACAAAAUGGCCGCCACGAGGCAAGAACACAAUGGCAACGUUCUAAUUUCCAUACCAGCAUAUUACUUUGAAUUCAUACCUUGAUACAGUGCUUCAUACUAAGUAGUAUACUUGUGUGGAUAUUGGAACAGAGCCAUGGAGUAGGCUCAUUCCUUGUCAUGUUUUUUUGGCUCCUUGUAUGAUAUACAGUGAGGUGGUUCUUAAUCACUAUAGGUUCCAAAUGGAAGUGACUGUCCUUUUACGAAUCUCUUCCCCUCUCAUGUUUAUCCCUUGGCUGCCAUUAUGCUAUUUUGUUAGUGAAUGUCCAUAUAAAAUCUUUUAUAUAAAAUAUUUUGUUGUGGUUUGUGA